rnacentral:rRNA from 1 species
UGGGGAAUCUUCCGCAAUGGACGAAAGUCUGACGGAGCAACGCCGCGUGAGUGAAGACGGCCUUCGGGUUGUAAAGCUCUGUGAUCCGGGACGAAAGAGCCUGAGGUAAAUAGCCUAAGGAAGUGACGGUGCCGGAAAAGCAAGCCACGGCUAACUACGUGCCAGCAGCCGCGGUAAUACGUAGGUGGCAAGCGUUGUCCGGAAUUAUUGGGCGUAAAGCGCGCGCAGGCGGCUUACUAAGUCCAUCUUAAAAGUGCGGGGCUUAACCCCGUGAUGGGAUGGAAACUGGAAAGCUGGAGUAUCGGAGAGGAAAGUGGAAUUCCUAGUGUAGCGGUGAAAUGCGUAGAGAUUAGGAAGAACACCGGUGGCGAAGGCGACUUUCUGGACGAAAACUGACGCUGAGGCGCGAAAGCGUGGGGAGCAAACAGG